rnacentral:rRNA from 1 species
CUGCAGUCGAACGGCAGCAUAGGAGCUUGCUCCUGAUGGCGAGUGGCGAACGGGUGAGUAAUAUAUCGGAACGUACCCUAGAGUGGGGGAUAACGCAGCGAAAGUUGCGCUAAUACCGCAUACGAUCUACGGAUGAAAGUGGGGGAUCGCAAGACCUCAUGCUCAUGGAGCGGCCGAUAUCUGAUUAGCUAGUUGGUGGGGUAAAAGCCUACCAAGGCAUCGAUCAGUAGCUGGUCUGAGAGGACGACCAGCCACACUGGAACUGAGACACGGUCCAGACUCCUACGGGAGGCAGCAGUGGGGAAUUUUGGACAAUGGGGGCAACCCUGAUCCAGCAAUGCCGCGUGAGUGAAGAAGGCCUUCGGGUUGUAAAGCUCUUUUGUCAGGGAAGAAACGGUGAGCUCUAAUACAGUUUGCUAAUGACGGUACCUGAAGAAUAAGCACCGGCUAACUACGUGCCAGCAGCCGCGGUAAUACGUAGGGUGCAAGCGUUAAUCGGAAUUACUGGGCGUAAAGCGUGCGCAGGCGGUUAUGUAAGUCAGAUGUGAAAUCCCCGGGCUCAACCUGGGAAUGGCAUUUGAGACUGCAUGGCUAGAGUGUGUCAGAGGGGGGUAGAAUUCCACGUGUAGCAGUGAAAUGCGUAGAGAUGUGGAGGAAUACCGAUGGCGAAGGCAGCCCCCUGGGAUAACACUGACGCUCAUGCACGAAAGCGUGGGGAGCAAACAGGAUUAGAUACCCUGGUAGUCCACGCCCUAAACGAUGUCUACUAGUUGUCGGGACUUAAUUGUCUUGGUAACGCAGCUAACGCGUGAAGUAGACCGCCUGGGGGAGUACGGUCGCAAGAUUAAAACUCAA